UACGAAGGGGGCUAGCGUUGCUCGGAAUUACUGGGCGUAAAGGGCGCGUAGGCGGCCAGUUUAGUCAGAGGUGAAAGCCCAGGGCUCAACCUUGGAAUUGCCUUUGAUACUGGCUGUCUUGAGUUCGGGAGAGGUGAGUGGAAUGCCGAGUGUAGAGGUGAAAUUCGUAGAUAUUCGGCGGAACACCAGUGGCGAAGGCGACUCACUGGCCCGAUACUGACGCUGAGGCGCGAAAGCGUGGGGAGCGAACAGG
rnacentral:rRNA from 1 species